AAGACUAUGUUUUAGUUAGGCAAGAGGAUAUAGUAGAUAAUAUAGCAUUUUUCAUGGCUGCAUAUCUGUUGUCCCAGAAACAAACUAAUGUAUGAUGCCUUAUCAAACUAAGGUAUGGAUGUUGUCUUACUAGUUGAUGUGACUUUUCCUUUCAGUUUAAUGUUAUUUUGUUUUCUUUACUUUAAUCAUCUAAUGUAGAAAGAUGGCUCAAUGCUAUUCAAUGCUAUUUUCUUUUUUUCACUUUCGAAGGGCAUGGGAUGGAAGCACAGUAAUUUACAAUGAGCUUCUUGGGGAGUCACAGCUAUUGGGUAAGCAGAGCUAUUCCAUUUAAAUGUUAGAAGGAUGCUACCACAUCCUAUUUCAACAUGGCUCUUAGUGAUGUCAAUUGCAUUCAUUCAUGUGCGUUGAUCAGGAUAUAACAAAACUCAACCGUUCUAAAAGCUUGCAUCUGCAGAAUUCUAGACUUCCC
rnacentral:lncRNA from 1 species